GCUCUGCUCUGGACACAGGAAGCCAGGGACGCCGAUUGUGGUCCCAAUGCUGAUACUUGUUUGUUGAGCUCUCGUUAUAAAUAAAGAACAUCAAACGGGCCAACAACUCUCCGGUUUUUGUCUUUAUUUUUAUUUUUAUUUUUGUUUUUAUUUUUGUUUUUAUUUUUUUUUGCCCCGACAAAGUUCUUCGACCGCCCGUUGUCACAGACGAAAGUUGCAACUAUCCUCAAUUUGUCGGUUGCUGCAAACAGGAGCUCUCCCCCCAGAGAGCAAAGCCCGGAGGUUGAACUUACACCAGUGAUUUGUCUCGACUUCUCCUCAAGAAUCAAUUUAUGAACUAGUUAACGCCAAUUUAUUGAUUUGUGUGUGGUUUUUUUCUUUUUUCUUUUUUCUUUUUCUUUUCCUUCUUUUUUUGGCUUUUCGAUUCUCGAUUCUCGCCUGGAGAGCAAGGAUUUUUUCGGGGGAGGGGGAAAUUUUUCGUUAGCCCAGUUCGAUAUCUCGGCCCCAGGAUAAGAGCGAAAAUCCUUCUAGAAGUAUUUUCGAAGCGGGAACGGGGAGACGGCCAAGUUCCAACUCCUCGAGCUAGGAGAACUAGGAGACUGGGCGGGGUCAGGGGACACGGCGUGCUCAAUACCAGGCCAGCAGGGAAGCGAGUUUCAUCUGAGCCGCUUCUGCAUGCGCUACGCAAGUACUGGUACCCAGGAGAUACUCCGCACAUGAGCACCACCAGAAACUGCCUGAUGCGACCAUGGCUGGUUUCGGUCACAAAAACCAUGAUUACCAUCGGUCAUCGCAACGCCGACGUGGCCGUCGUUUUGGGUGGGCGCGCGGGCAUAUUCGGUGCUCUUGUCGUUGCUUGAAGGUGGUUAUUAUUAGAUACUACUGUCGUAGAUUCUGUCAUAGUUUAACAAACUACCA
rnacentral:sRNA from 2 species